GAUGAACGCUGGCGGCGUGCUUAACACAUGCAAGUCGAACGAACCUUCGGGUUAGUGGCGGACGGGUGAGUAACGCGUGAGAAUCUGCCCUCAGGAGGGGGAUAACGGCUGGAAACGGCCGCUAAUACCCCAUAUGCCGCAAGGUGAAAUGAAAUUCGCCUGAGGAUGAGCUCGCGUCUGAUUAGCUAGUUGGUGGGGUAAGAGCCUACCAAGGCAUCGAUCAGUAGCUGGUCUGAGAGGAUGAUCAGCCACACUGGGACUGAGACACGGCCCAGACUCCUACGGGAGGCAGCAGUGGGGAAUUUUCCGCAAUGGGCGAAAGCCUGACGGAGCAACGCCGCGUGAGGGAUGAAGGCCUCUGGGCUGUAAACCUCUUUUAUCAAGGAAGAAGAUCUGACGGUACUUGAUGAAUAAGCCACGGCUAAUUCCGU
rnacentral:rRNA from 1 species